AUUGAACGCUGGCGGCAUGCCUUACACAUGCAAGUCGAACGGCAGCACGGGAGCAAUCCUGGUGGCGAGUGGCGAACGGGUGAGUAAUAUAUCGGAACGUGCCCAGUAGUGGGGGAUAGCCCGGCGAAAGCCGGAUUAAUACCGCAUGAGACCUGAGGGUGAAAGCGGGGGAUCGCAAGACCUCGCGCUAUUGGAGCGGCCGAUAUCAGAUUAGCUAGUUGGUGGGGGUAAAGGCCUACCAAGGCAACGAUCUGUAGUUGGUCUGAGAGGACGACCAGCCACACUGGGACUGAGACACGGCCCAGACUCCUACGGGAGGCAGCAGUGGGGAAUUUUGGACAAUGGGCGCAAGCCUGAUCCAGCAAUGCCGCGUGCAGGAAGAAGGCCUCGGGUUGUAACUAGCUUUGUC
rnacentral:rRNA from 1 species